GGUUUGUGGCUCAGUGAUAGAGCGCUUGCCUAGCAUGGGUGAGGCACUGGGUUCAAUUCUCAGCACCA
rnacentral:tRNA from 1 species